GCCGAAAUAGCUCAGUUGGGAGAGCGUUAGACUGUAGAUCUAAAGGUCGCUGGUUCGAGUGUUGACA